ensembl:lncRNA
UGGAACUGAAGAUACUCUGCAUGCCAGAGGAAUGCUACCCACUCCCCUGUGCACCUUGUCCUGUGCUUUCUGCCUUGGAAAUGUGGACUUAAAGACUGUCUUCUAUAUGAGUAGGGACCAUGGUGGUGCCUCUGGGCAGGGUUGCAUGGGGAAGGUGACGGAAUGGUUCAUUCCAGCCCCACUGUAGCUAUAGAGAAGCCCAGACCAUUCAAGUGAAAACAGAAGGCCAAAGGUUUGUUUGGGUUGCAACCCAACCCAGUAACAGAGCCACAUUAAGAGGUGUUGAUGUGUUCCCUCGAGAGUUGCACAGUGGGUCUGGGGAGCAAUGCUGCCUUGUCUCUGCUCCUGUAAAAUUACUUUGUGGGGCAAGGAGUGGGGCCAGGUUGAGUUAAAGCAGAGCUGCCCAGCAGCCCAGCUGAGCCAUGUGGGACAUGGGUCCCCAUCCCCUCUGGCUGCUGGCAGUCACAGCGGGGUGACAGCAGUGUGCCCUUGUCCCAUGACAGUACAUCCUUCCUUCCUCUGUGCUGAAUGUCCUGACCCCCGCUGUUUCUCUCCUUUCUCGGCCCCGACCUCACUGAUCCCACUGUUCCUCACCAAGAACAAUGCUCUUUCUGUUGCUUCCAUACUAAAUGAGGGCUAUUUCUGCUUUCCUCCCAGACUGGGCCUGAGAACUGGUAGUGCUUCAUUUUGCUGACACAAGUACUGUAUUUGGCUCAUUGAGCACAUGACAGCAACGGUCUCUUCUGCCCAAAGAGCUUCCCAGAAUCACAGAGGUGUCAUCCUCAGCGGGGCACUGGCAGCAGGACCCUUACCCUGUCUGCAAAGGGACAGUAGCCCCAGGAGGACUACAUUUGGUGGCCUCACACAGGUGUACCAGCCCUGUGUGCCUCUGGCUGUACCAGCUCUGUCUCACUCGCUCUCUAAGCCAGUGUGUCUGUCCAUGUCUCACUGUACUACGUAAGCGUGUAUAAAUCUACAUUACUGUGGGCGGGUGGGGGUGGCAGCUGAAGAUAGAUGUAGCUGUGUAAAUGCCCUAUCUAUACUUUCAC